UUCUGGGGAUUCAGAUCGCGUUGGUUUUAGACGACGCUCCCAUGUUGUCCACUUCCCGUAAUUUAGCUGCAGUUGAAGACGGUUUUUGGGUUUGUACAAGAAUGCAGUUGUUAAAAGAGUGGAUCGGUAUGAACAACAUUGAAAGUUUUUAGAGUUUUUUCAUCAAAAUCUACAGUAAAACGAGGAGAUUCAAACAGGGUUGUGUUGUUCUAGGCUGGUAGUAAUACGAUGAACUGGUGGUAUGUUCGAUGCCCUUUUCAUCACUGCCGACUUUGGUUUUUCGGUUGCCCCUCAUCCCUCCCGGGUCUAUUGAGCACAUAUUCGUGUA
rnacentral:lncRNA from 1 species